rnacentral:rRNA from 1 species
AUGCGCCCCGCGGCCUCGAAGGCGGCCGGGAAGGAGAAGAGCAGGAGGAAGGGCGCCGGCGCCGGCGCCGGAGAGCAUCUCCUCACCGACCGCGUCCUCUCCCUCCGCGCCCGCCUGCACGACGCCCUCUCCCUCGGCCUCGCCAGGUCUGAUGGCCACGGUGCAAAAAAAUGGCAGUCUACUGAUGCUGGAAUUCAGUCUCACGCGAUCAAAGCAGUGACUGCUUUUCUCGGUUGUUUGUCAACUGAAAUGUUGCGGCUUCCUCCUAUAAAGGAGUCAGUUUCGGAUAUUCUCGUACUCCUGGAAGGUGUUCUUCAGACAAAGAACAUUUCAAUUUUGAUCCAAGCAGCAGAUGUGAGCUCAAAGUUAGUUUCCAGCAUAGGCAAUUCGAUUCGGCAAUACCCAAUUUUGGAGAUUGUUUCGCCCCUCUCAUGCCAGUUGUCGGCACACCAGUUACCUACAGCUAUCUCAUGUGCAAGGGCAAUGAAUUGCAUAUUGAAUAGCCUAGUGACGGCGAGAGGUUCAACUCAUGCAGAAAUUUUGGAAACCUUGGAGAGAACCAAUGCAGUUGCAAGUAUUGUUUCAGCUCUGCAGAGUUACACUCCUGAUGUCCAUCCAUUGAGUUAUCUGACCGAGAUGAUAUCACUACUAAGAACCAUACUGUGGAUUUGGCCUUCCUCAAGAUACCAUGUAUGGAGUAAUGGUAACCUGAUGGGCAAGUUAGCACAUUUCUGUCUUGCCACUGAAACAAUGGUUGUUGCUAAAGUUCUUAGGCUGUAUGCUGCUUUAGCUUUAUGUGGCCAUGGAGCUGUCAUCCUUCUCAAGAAUGACGUCUUAAUGGCUAAGAUUUGUGAGCUCGUGGGAACGUCCCAUCCGAGUAGUACUAGGAUUGAAGCGUUCAGACUCUGCCAUGUUCUUUUGAGGUCUUCGAAGGGCUGUAGUCAGUUAAUGACUUCACGUUGCCAGCCUAUUGUUGAAGGCAUAAUCGAUGCAAUGCGUGCAAAGGAUGAUAAAUUGUUAGUAACAGAGGGGUGUCGUACUGCACUGCUGGUCCUACGUUAUGCUGGGAAUCAUCAUCAAUGCUUUUGGUCUAAUGCCAUCGAUAAAGUAUUAUAUAGCAUUCUUACCGGUCGCUGCCUCUCCUCGCAUCAAAGUGAUAAAGUUUUGUGCGAUGAUGAGCUAUUUGAUAUGGUUUCCAAAAACUUCAUGGAUAUACAUCCAUACGUCUGGGAUAUACUUGGAUAUCUAGUGGUGCAUUGCACGGAGGAUCACCAUCCUGUAAGGAAAGGGAAAGGUCAUAGCUUGCACGCACUGAUAUCUUGUGCUUGCUUGCUGGCCACAGAUGUUAUGCGCAAAAGCAGCCCCAUGACAUUAUCCAAAGAUGUACAGGAGCCGGCUUUGAGGGCAGUUUUGAUGAUGCUUCUCUCUCCCAAUGGAUAUAUUCAGUAUGAGGCAAAUUUUAAACUUUCAGAAGGUCUUCCAUAUUUGGGUGAUGGCUAUUUGAACGUUCUAUUGUCAUCAUUAGAAUCAAAUACUACGAGAAGUGUUGCCACAUCUUUUGACAGUUUCAAAAUUAUGACCAACCUCAUGAACCUAGCAUGUUUGGUGCUGUCACGACCUUACCAUAAUCUCCUUAACAAGAGGAAUCCUGUUGAUGUGUUGUCCAUCAUUAUCAAGGAAUGUCUCCACAAUAAUAUACAUAUUACGAGGUCAAAAGUCACUUCCCAUCUGCAUUUUUGUUUUGAAGGAAGUUCAUGCUGUUGCUAUCUCGGUGAAGAGUGGGAGGGUGAAAACAUAGUCUUAUUCUACGGUCUUGUUGGGCUGUUUAAUCUUCUGAGGAGCACUACUUUAGUUUGUGUUCAGUGUAAGAGGAAGUUGGAUGUUGGGAUUCUGUGCCAUGACUGCAGAGAUCAGUAUACCGAAGAUUUUCUUAUAGUUCUUCAAUGUGCUCUAAGUCAAAGCUUGAGUUCUGGACCGAAGCUCUAUAUUGCACACAUCCUGAGUUUGUUUGGCCUCUGCGGUUCUCCAAGCAAGUUGGGCGGGAAGAUGAGUAGUGCAUUAGAUAAUAACGAUCUAGCUGAUCUGGAACUUUUGCUUUCAGAUGGUGAAUCUAUAAAUGCUCACACAGCCAUCAUAUCAGCAAGGUGUCCUAAGCUGUUGCCAUCUGUAAAAUAUCUACUUGGCAGCGACGAAAAAGCUAAAGAUGAAUGGGGAAAAUCAGUGUACCGAGUUCAAAUGUCUGAUCGUGUAGAUAGCCACGCCUUGAAGAAGAUUUUGGAGUACACAUAUACUGGUUUUGUGAUGGUAGGUGAUGACAUUGUUAAACCAGUAAGGACACUUGCGAAGUAUUGUAACCUGAAAUCAUUGGCAGAAAUGCUUCAGAAAGAGCAACCCAGAUGGAACUCCAAUUAUACCAGAUAUGAUCUUACCGUUGCACUUGGACCAGUUGAGCAUUCGUUCUCGGACAUAAUUUUGGAGGCUCAAUCAAAUGAGGAAAUGAAGUGUGACCACGGGCCGUGCCAAUUGUCAACCCCGCACGUUCAUAGCCACAAAAUCGUGCUGAUAAUGAGCUGCGAUUACCUCCGGGCAUUAUUUCGAUCCGGGAUGCACGAGAGGGUUCCACUCGGGUGGCAAGCGCUGGACAAACUAGUCCAGUGGUUCUACUCGGGCGAGCUGCCGAAAGCCGCCCUCGACUGCCGGUGGAACAACCUGAGCAGCGACGGGCAGCGCUCCCACCUGAACGCCUACGCGGAGCUGUCUUCGCUUGCCGAGUUCUGGUUCCUGGAGGGGGUGAAGGAGGAGAGCCUCGAGGUGGUCUCGUCCCUCCUGGAGUCGAGCACGAGCGCCGCCGCGGUCGAGUUCGUCGCCUUCGCGGCCAACCUGGGCCAGUGGGAGAUGGUCGAGGCCGGCGUCCGGAGCGUGGCGCACCUGUACCCCCGGCUGCGGGACUCGGGCCGGCUGGAGCAUCUCGACGACGAGCUGCUCAACAUGGUGCGGACCGAGUACGUCCGGUACUCGCAGCACGGAGGCGGGCAGAGGUGA